rnacentral:rRNA from 1 species
CCUACGGGGUGCAGCAGUGAGGAAUAUUGGUCAAUGAACGAGAGUCUGAACCAGCCAAGUAGCGUGAAGGAUGACUGCCCUAUGGGUUGUAAACUUCUUUUAUAUGGGAAUAAAAUGUUCCACGUGUGGGAUUUUGUAUGUACCAUAUGAAUAAGGAUCGGCUAACUCCGGGCCAGCAGCCGCGGUAAUACGGAGGAUCCGAGCGUUAUCCGGAUUUAUUGGGUUUAAAGGGAGCGUAGGUGGAUUGUUAAGUCAGUUGUGAAAGUUUGCGGAUCAACCGUAAAAUUGCAGUUGAAACUGGCAGUCUUGAGUACAGUAGAGGUGGGCGGAAUUCGUGGUGUAGCGGUGAAAUGCUUAGAUAUCACGAAGAACUCCGAUUGCGAAGGCAGUUCACUGGACUGCAACUGACACUGAGGCUCGAAAGUGUGGGUAUCAAACAGGAUUAGAUACCCUUGUAGUC